GACGAACGCUGGCGGCGUGGAUUAGGCAUGCAAGUCGCACGAGAAACAUUCCUUCGGGAAUGCGGACAGUGGCGAACUGGUGAGUAACACGUGAACAACCUGCCCUUUCAUUCUGGAUAGCCGGCCGAAAGGCCGGAUAAUACAGGCGAGGAUCUUUUUAAGGCAUCUUAGAAAGAAGGAAGGCGCAAGCCGUGCAAGGAGGGGUUCGCGGACUAUCAGGUAGUUGGUGAGGUAAUGGCUCACCAAGCCGACGACGGAUAGCUGGUCUGAGAGGAUGAUCAGCCACACUGGGACUGAGACACUGCCCAGACUCCUACGGGAGGCUGCAGUCGAGAAUCUUGGACAAUGUACGAAAGUAUGAUCCAGCGACGCCGCGUGGAGGAUGAAGGAGCUAUGCUUCGUAAACUCCUUUUAUGAGGGAAGAAGAUCUGACGGUACCUCAUGAAUAAGCCACGGCUAACUACGUGCCAGCAGCCGCGGUAAA
rnacentral:rRNA from 1 species